ACGUUAACGAACGAGACCUUAACCUGCUAAAUAGCGGCGCGAACGGAACCGUUCGACGGGACGCUUCUUAGAGGGACUGACUACGCUUAGUGGUCGGAAGUUUGAGGCAAUAACAGGUCUGUGAUGCCCUUAGAUGUUCUGGGCUGCACGCGCGCUACACUGACAAGGCCAGCGAGUGUAUAACCUUGACCGGAAGGUCUGGGCAAUCUUGUGAAACCUUGUCGUGCUGGGGAUAGACCAUUGCAAUUAUUGGUCUUCAACGAGGAAUUCCUAGUAAGCGCAAGUCAUCAGCUUGCGUUGAUUACGUCCCUGCCCUUUGUACACACCGCCCGUCGCUAAUACCGAUUGAAUGGAUA
rnacentral:rRNA from 1 species